rnacentral:rRNA from 1 species
GAUGAACGCUGGCGGCGUGCCUAAUACAUGCAAGUCGAGCGAACAGACGAGGAGCUUGCUCCUCUGACGUUAGCGGCGGACGGGUGAGUAACACGUGGAUAACCUACCUAUAAGACUGGGAUAACUUCGGGAAACCGGAGCUAAUACCGGAUAAUAUAUUGAACCGCAUGGUUCAAUAGUGAAAGACGGUUUUGCUGUCACUUAUAGAUGGAUCCGCGCCGCAUUAGCUAGUUGGUAAGGUAACGGCUUACCAAGGCAACGAUGCGUAGCCGACCUGAGAGGGUGAUCGGCCACACUGGAACUGAGACACGGUCCAGACUCCUACGGGAGGCAGCAGUAGGGAAUCUUCCGCAAUGGGCGAAAGCCUGACGGAGCAACGCCGCGUGAGUGAUGAAGGUCUUCGGAUCGUAAAACUCUGUUAUUAGGGAAGAACAGAUGUGUGAGUAACUAUGCACGUCUUGACGGUACCUAAUCAGAAAGCCACGGCUAACUACGUG